CUCCCGCCGGCGACCGGCGCACGGGUGAGUAACACGUAUGAAACCUGCCCGUAGCAGGGGGAUAAGCGGAAGAAAUUCCGUCUAAUACCGCGUAACAACCCGAGGAGGCAUCUCCUCGGGUUUAAAGGAAGCGAUUCCGGCUACGGAUGGUCAUGCGUCGCAUUAGCUAGUUGGCGGGGUAACGGCCUACCAAGGCGACGAUGCGUAGCCGACCUGAGAGGGUGAACGGCCACACUGGGACUGAGACACGGCCCAGACUCCUACGGAAGGCAGCAG
rnacentral:rRNA from 1 species